GGCGUCCGCUUUGUAAUCUCAAGAAGUGUUUUCCGCUUCGGACCAAGCCUAAGUCCCCUGGAAAGGGGCAUCAUAGAGGGUGAUAAUCCCGUACAUGGCUUGGAGCGCCCGUAGCUUUGUGAUACACUUUCUAAGAGUCGAGUUGUUUGGGAAUGCAGCUCAAAAUGGGUGGUAAAUGCCAUCUAAGGCUAAAUAUUGGGGAGAGACCGAUAGCGAACAAGUACAGUGAUGGAAAGAUGAAAAGAACUUUGAAAAGAGAGUUAAACAGUACGUGAAAUUGCCAAAAGGGAAGGGUAGGAGGUCAGAGAUGCGGCCUAGGAUUCAGCCUUGCUUUUGCUUGGUGUUUUUCCUAGAUUGCAGGCCAACGUCGGUUUUGGGCACUGGAGAAGGGUGGAAGGAACGUGGCACCUCUCGGGGUGUGUUAUAGCCUUCCACUGGAUACAGCGACCGAGACCGAGGACAGCAGCGUACUCGCAAGAGCGGGCCUUCGGGCACCUUUACGCUUAGGGCGUUGGCAUAAUGGCCCUCUACCACC
rnacentral:rRNA from 1 species